AGACAAUUUGGAGUGGAGGUGGUGACCCUCAGCCCACGUGUCAGUGUCUUCAAGGAGAGAUGGCCUGGUUUAUUCAAUGAGGCUCAGAUCAAGGAGGAGUUCCGACACAUAACAACUCUUUCACUGGAAGAGACUUUGAUGCUGAAACUGGAUGGGUACACUAAGUCGCUCCAGCUGAUGCGUGCCAAAGGAGGAGAUGCUGGCUCCAGGAUGCGCCCUCUUCUGAGCGCAAUUGAUGAGCCCCAGAGUAUAGAAAAAAGAAGGGAUGCAGUGGCCAGGUGCCUGAUUGAAGACCUUGAGGAACGCCAAGAAGACCUUUUUCACGACAGCCAGG